rnacentral:rRNA from 1 species
GAGUUUGAUCCUGGCUCAGGACGAACGCUGGCGGCGUGCCUAACACAUGCAAGUCGAACGGAGUUGAAAGGAGCUUGCUUUUUUCAACUCAGUGGCGGACGGGUGAGUAACGCGUGAGUAACCUGCCUUUCAGAGGGGGAUAACGUUCUGAAAAGAACGCUAAUACCGCAUAAGAUUGUAGCUUCGCAUGGAGCAGCAAUCAAAGGAGCAAUCCGCUGAAAGAUGGACUCGCGUCCGAUUAGAUAGUUGGCGGGGUAACGGCCCACCAAGUCGACGAUCGGUAGCCGGACUGAGAGGUUGAUCGGCCACAUUGGGACUGAGACACGGCCCAGACUCCUACGGGAGGCAGCAGUGAGGGAUAUUGGGCAAUGGGGGAAACCCUGACCCAGCAACGCCGCGUGAGGGAUGACGGUUUUCGGAUUGUAAACCUCUGUCCUCUGUGAAGAUAGUGACGGUAGCAGAGGAGGAAGCUCCGGCUAACUACGUGCCAGCCGCCGCGGUAAUAC